UACGGGGGGGGGCAAGCGUUGUUCGGAAUUACUGGGCGUAAAGGGCUCGUAGGCGGCCAACUAAGUCAUACGUGAAAUCCCUCAGCUUAACUGGGGAACUGCGUGUGAUACUGGAUGGCUUGGAUGUGGGAGAGGGAUGCGGAAUUCCAGGUGUAGCGGUGAAAUGCGUAGAUAUCUGGAGGAACACCGGUGGCGAAGGCGGCCAACUGGUCCGGAUCUGACGCUGAGGCGCGAAAGCGUGGGGAGCAAACAGG
rnacentral:rRNA from 1 species